GUGGAGCAUGUGGCUUAAUUUGACUCAACGCGGGAAAUCUUACCGGGUCCGGACACACUGAGGAUUGACAGAUAUACGCUGCGUUAUGUCUCUCACGGGACUGCGUGGCUCAAAGAUGCUAGUUCUUUCAUGAUUAUGUGAUAGGUGGUGCAUGGCCGUUCUUAGUUCGUGGAGUGAUCUGUCUGCUUAAUUGCGUAUCAAUAAUAGAGACCUAGUAUACGUGCAUUACUCAUGUGGUAGUGACCCCCUCUUCGCGGAGGCGCGUGUCGCACAUAUGGUAUGCGCACUGGUCUCAGAUAGCAACGAACGUGACCGUAUUCUAUUGUUGCAGUGAAUUAUACGUGCUGCUCUUUACCGAGUUAGUUACAUCCCACUGCUUAGUGUGCGCGGCGUAUUUCGGUACUCGCGUCACACAUUAAACUAUAGAGACCGCUGUUUCUUCUUUAAACCAGAGGAAGGAUAC
rnacentral:rRNA from 1 species